rnacentral:rRNA from 1 species
GACGAACGCUGGCGGCGUGCUUAACACAUGCAAGUCGAACGAUGAAGAAAAGAAUUGAAGCUUCGGCAGAAAUUCAUUUCGGAUUAGUGGCAGACGGGUGAGUAACGCGUGAGCAACCUACCUCUUACAAAGGGAUAGCCUCGGGAAACCGGGAUUAAUACCAUAUAACAUUGCGACGAAGCAUUUCGAUGCAAUCAAAGCUACGGCGGUAAGAGAUGGGCUCGCGUCCCAUUAACCAGAUGGUGAGGUAACGGCUCACCAUAGUAACGAUGGGUAACCGGCCUGAGAGGGUGAACGGUCACACUGGAACUGAGACACGGUCCAGACUCCUACGGGAGGCAGCAGUGGGGAAUAUUGCACAAUGGAGGGAACUCUGAUGCAGCGACGCCGCGUGAGUGAUGAAGGAAUUCGUUUCGUAAAACUCUGUUCUAUGGGUAGAAAAGGACUGUACCAUAGGAGAAAGCUCCGGCUAAAUACGUG